GAGUUUGAUCAUGGCUCAGAACGUACGCUGGCGGCACGCCUAACACAUGCAAGUCGAACGAAGUAGCAAUACUUAGUGGCAGACGGGUGAGUAACAUGUGGGUAUCUGCCCUUUGGCCUGGAAUAACACGAGGAAACUUGUGCUAAUACCGGAUAAGUCUUUACGGAGAAAGCUUUAUGCACCAUUGGAUGAGCCCGCACUUGAUUAGUUUGUUGGUGGGGUAAUGGCCUACCAAGACUAUGAUCAAUAGCUGAUUUGAGAGGAGGAUCAGCCACAUUGGGACUGAGACACGGCCCAAACUCCUACGGGAGGCAGCAGUGGGGAAUCUUGCACAAUGGAGGAAACUCUGAUGCAGCGAUGCCGCGUGAGUGAAGAAGGCCCUUGGGUUGUAAAGCUCUUUCGUCGGGGAAGAAAAUGACUGUACCCGAAUAAGAAGGUCCGGCUAACUUCGUGCCAGCAGCCGCGGUAAUACGAAGGGACCUAGCGUAGUUCGGAAUUACUGGGCUUAAAGAGUUCGUAGGUGGUUGAAAAAGUUAGUGGUGAAAUCCCAGAGCUUAACUCUGGAACUGCCAUUAAAACUUUUCAGCUAGAGUAUGAUAGAGGAAAGCAGAAUUUCUAGUGUAGAGGUGAAAUUCGUAGAUAUUAGAAAGAAUACCAAUUGCGAAGGCAGCUUUCUGGAUCAUUACUGACACUGAGGAACGAAAGCAUGGGUAGCGAAGAGGAUUAGAUACCCUCGUAGUCCAUGCCGUAAACGAUGUGUGUUAGACGUUGGAAAUUUAUUUUCAGUGUCGCAGCGAAAGCGAUAAACACACCGCCUGGGGAGUACGACCGCAAGGUUAAAACUCAAAUGAAUUGACGGGGACCCGCACAAGUAGUGGAGCAUGUGGUUUAAUUCGAAGAUACGCGCAGAACCUUACCAACACUUGACAUGUUCGUCGCGACUCUAAGAGAUUAGAGUUUUCGGUUCGGCCGGACGAAACACAGGUGCUGCAUGGCUGUCGUCAGCUCGUGUCGUGAGAUGUUGGGUUAAGUCCCGCAACGAGCGCAACCCUCACUUUUAGUUGCCAUCAUUAAGUUGGGCACUCUGAAAGAACUGCCAGUGAUAAGCUGGAGGAAGGUGGGGAUGACGUCAAGUCCUCAUGGCCCUUACGUGUUGGGCUACACACGUGCUACAAUGGUAUCUACAACAGGAAGCAAGACUGCGAGGUCAAGCAAAUCCUCAAAAGAUACCUCAGUUCGGAUUGCACUCUGCGACUCGAGUGCAUGAAGCUGGAAUUACUAGUAAUCGUGGAUCAGCGUGCCACGGUGAAUGCGU
rnacentral:rRNA from 1 species